CAAACUCAAUAAUUUAAAAGUUAUUGAUGAUUUAUAUUCUCAAUAUUUGACCAAAAUCUUGUUCAAAACGACAUCUAAAUCCUUUAUGGAGAGAGUAUAUAAGAUGCCUCCUAGCUAUAUACUAGAAGCUGGUACUUUGCCGAGUGUCUAUGGCACUCAGCAAAGAACCAAAUACAAUCGAUAAAUUUUUAAUCGGUAAAGAAAAUUUUUUGGGCAAAGAUAGAAACGAAAAAACUAAAAAAAAUCCACAUCUAAAUUCGCUAGAGGCCUGCGCCCACACGACUCUAUCUGCUGCUCAAAUUUUAAAUUUUUUCCUAUUUGCCGCGGCCGGUGGUAUUCAAACUUGUGGCCUCUCUGUCACGUGUGUCUUCCUUCUUAACCACUGCACCACACUAUCACUUGUGUCUAU
rnacentral:lncRNA from 1 species